CCUACGGGAGGCUGCAGUGGGGAAUAUUGCACAAUGGGGGAAACCCUGAUGCAGCGAAGUAGCGUGAGUGAAGAAGUAACUCGUUAUGUUAAGCUCUAUCUGUAGGGAAGUAAAUGACGGUACCUGAGUCUGAAGCCCCGGAUAACUACGUGCCAGCAGCCGCGGUAAGACGUAGGGGGCAAGCGUUAUCCGGAUUUACUGGGUGUAAAGGGAGCGUAGACGGCAGUGCAAGUCUGGAGUGAAAGGCGGGGGCUCAACCGCCGGACUGCUCUUGAAACUGUACGGCUGGAGUGCAGGUGAGGUAGGUGGAAUUCCUAGUGUAGCGGUGAAAUGCGUAGAUAUUAGGAGGAACACCAGUUGCGAAGGCAGCUUACUAGACUGUAACUGACGUUGAGGCUCGAAAGCGUGGGGAGCAAACAGGAUUAGAUACCCUGGUAGUC
rnacentral:rRNA from 1 species